CGCGAAUCGCCCUUCGGGGUGCAGCAGGCGCGAAAACUUUACAAUGCGGGAAACCGUGAUAAGGGGACACCGAGUGCCAGCAUCAUAUGCUGGCUGUCCAGGUGUGUAAAAUACACCUGUCAGCAAGGGCCGGGCAAGACCGGUGCCAGCCGCCGCGGUAACACCGGCGGCCCGAGUGGUGAUCGUGAUUAUUGGGUCUAAAGGGUCCGUAGCCGGUUUGGUCAGUCCUCCGGGAAAUCUGACGGCUCAACCGUUAGGCUUUCGGGGGAUACUGCCAGGCUUGGAACCGGGAGAGGUAAGAGGUACUACAGGGGUAGGAGUGAAAUCUUGUAAUCCCUGUGAGACCACCUGUGGCGAAGGCGUCUUACCAGAACGGGUUCGACGGUGAGGGACGAAAGCUGGGGGCACGAACCGGAUUAGAUACCCGGGUAGUCCCAGCCGUAAACGAUGCUCGCUAGGUGUCAGGCAUGGCGCGACCGUGUCUGGUGCCGCAGGGAAGCCGUGAAGCGAGCCACCUGGGAAGUACGGCCGCAAGGCUGAAACUUAAAGGAAUUGGCGGGGGAGCAC
rnacentral:rRNA from 1 species